AUUGAACGCUGGCGGCAUGCUUUACACAUGCAAGUCGAACGGUAACAGGCCGCAAGGUGCUGACGAGUGGCGAACGGGUGAGUAAUGCAUCGGAACGUGCCCAGUCGUGGGGGAUAACGCAGCGAAAGCUGUGCUAAUACCGCAUACGAUCUAUGGAUGAAAGCGGGGGACCGUAAGGCCUCGCGCGAUUGGAGCGGCCGAUGUCGGAUUAGGUAGUUGGUGGGGUAAAGGCCUACCAAGCCGACGAUCUGUAGCUGGUCUGAGAGGACGACCAGCCACACUGGGACUGAGACACGGCCCAGACUCCUACGGGAGGCAGCAGUGGGGAAUUUUGGACAAUGGGCGCAAGCCUGAUCCAGCAAUGCCGCGUGCAGGAAGAAGGCCUUCGGGUUGUAAACUGCUUUUGUACGGAACGAAACGGUCUGGGUUAAUACCCUGGGCUAAUGACGGUACCGUAAGAAUAAGCACCGGCUAACUACGUGCCAGCAGCCGCCGUAACAC
rnacentral:rRNA from 1 species